rnacentral:rRNA from 1 species
GAUGAACGCUGGCGGCGUGCUUAACACAUGCAAGUCGAACGAUGAAGCCCAGCUUGCUGGGUGGAUUAGUGGCGAACGGGUGAGUAACACGUGAGUAACCUGCCCUUAACUCUGGGAUAAGCCUGGGAAACUGGGUCUAAUACCGGAUAGGAGCGUCCACCGCAUGGUGGGUGUUGGAAAGAUUUAUCGGUUUUGGAUGGACUCUCGGCCUAUCAGCUUGUUGGUGAGGUAAUGGCUCACCAAGGCGACGACGGGUAGCCGGCCUGAGAGGGUGACCGGCCACACUGGGCCUGAGACACGGCCCAGACUCCUACGGGAGGCAGCAGUGGGGAAUAUUGCACAAUGGGCGCAAGCCUGAUGCAGCGACGCCGCGUGGGGGAUGACGGCCUUCGGGUUGUAAACUCCUUUCGUCAGGGACGAAGCGAAAGUGACGGUACCUGGAUAAGAAGCACCGGCUAACUACGUG